GCAGAUCAUGUUCUUGUUGAAUCUAACGGCCAUUCCACGUGUGAGAUUGCUUCUCUUCCUGGAAUUCCUCCACGUGUUUGUUUGUUUGGCCAUUCCACGUGUUUUUGUUUGUUUCAACCAGUUACCAACUUUCACGCUACUGGCAAUUCCCGGUCAGCAGCGUCCCCGCUUCCAGCACCGAACUUUCUUACAUUCGCAGGUUCAUCCCCACACCCACCACCGCCACCCCAAUCUUCUCUAUUCAAAGAUUUCCGGAUAUAGAAGGGUUCCAAUUUCCUGGAUUAGGGUUUGUGUUUAAAUCGAAAUUUCAUGGAAGUUCCUGCUUCGGCUUCUUCAGAAUCUAACGGUAACAGGCCAAGGAUUCGUUAUUUCAGCUGUAGUUCCUUUAGGCGUUGUUGUCGCUGUUUCUGUUGUUUCUACACAAAUCAUUGAGUUUUGAAAUUCUCAAUUUUUUUUAAUUAUUUGUUAUUUGAGGUUUUGAAAUGGAUUUAUCGCAAGCUCAUUCGGGUCUGUCGCUUGGGUUUCACUCGCACUCGUCGUCGAAUCCUAUUCCGUUGCAGUUACUUGACCAGAAGGAGGAGAACCCAGUUGAGAAAGAUGAAAAUCAGGCUGAAGAAGAGGAGAAUUUUAGCAUUUUGGGUCAUCCAAUGUGUAUAAAGAGGCAAAGAGAUGGCCAAGCAUCGUCUUCAUCGUCAUCAUCGCCUAACCCUCCUAAGCGAGUCGCCAAGGAACCGGGACUCGAGUGUCGACGAGCAAUGGUUCGAGGCUGGGGGAACCAAUCACUUCCCGUGGCGGACCCAGAAAUUCAUGAAAUUAUGGAAAAAGAGAAGCAGAGGCAGGUGAAAGGAAUCGAACUUGUAGCAUCGGAGAAUUUUGUUUGCCGUGCAGUGAUGGAAGCUCUCGGUAGCCACUUGACAAAUAAAUACUCGGAGGGACUUCCCGGAGCGAGAUUCUACACUGGUAACCAGUAUAUAGACCAAAUUGAAUCGCUAUGUUGCAGUCGGGCAUUGGCGGCCUUUGGGCUUGAUCCUGAUAAAUGGGGCGUUAAUGUGCAGCCAUAUUCAUGUACAUCCGCAAAUUUUGCUGUUUACACGGGGCUUUUACUACCCGGGGAUCGGAUUAUGGGUUUGGAUUCACCUUCUGGGGGGCAUUUGAGUCAUGGAUAUUAUACGCCGGGAGGAAAAAAGGUGUCUGCUUCCUCGAUUUUCUUCGAGAGUUUGCCUUACAAAGUGAAUCCGCAAACAGGGUAUGUUGAUUAUGAUAAGAUGGAGGAGAAGGCGAUGGAUUUUAGACCCAAGAUACUUAUUUGUGGUGGAAGUUCAUACCCCAGGGAAUGGGAUUACGCUAGGUUUAGGCAAGUUGCAGAUAAGAUUGGAGCAGUGUUGAUGUGUGACAUGGCUCAUAUUAGCGGCAUUGUGGCUGCUAAGGAAUGUACAAGUCCAUUUGAUUAUUGUGAUAUUGUCACUUCUACAACUCACAAAAGUCUUCGAGGUCCCAGGGGAGGAAUUAUUUUUUGUCGGAAAGGGCCAAAAUCAAGGAAGCAAAGCAUGCUUAGUAAUGGUGAUGGUAGUAGCCAUUAUGAUUUUGAAGAAAAGAUAAACUUUGCAGUUCAUCCAUCGUUACAAGGUGGCCCUCACAAUAAUCACAUUGCUGCUCUUGCCAUAGCCUUA
rnacentral:misc_RNA from 1 species